AAACAUGGCCUUCCGCAAAAAUACAAGGUCCGACCUGCCCACUGAAAAUGAUUGAAGGGCCGCGGUAAUUUGACCGUGCAAAGGUAGCAUAAUCAUUAGUCUCUUAAUUGGAGGCUAGUAUGAACGGUUAGACGAAAUAAAAGCUGUCUCGUAAUAAAACAUAAAUUUUACUUUUUAGUGAAAAGGCUAAAAUAAACUUGGAGGACGAGAAGACCCUAUAGAUCUUGAUAUAAGCCCCAUCAUUUGUUUGGCAAAAGUAUUUGUGAUGUUAAUUAUAUUUGAUUGGGGUGAUUAAAAAAUAAAUAAACUUUUUUGAGCUAAACGUUUAUAAACGGUUAUAGGAUCCAUUUUAAUGAUUAUAAGAUUAAGUUACCUUAGGGAUAACAGCAUAAUCUUUCUGGAGAGUUCUAAUCGAGAGAAAGGAUUGUGACCUCGAUGUUGGAUUAGAACGGAGUUUGGGUGCAGAAGCUCAAUCUAUCAAGUCUGUUCGACUUUUAAAAUUCUACGUGAUCU
rnacentral:rRNA from 1 species